GUCUUUUUGAAUUGUAUAUAAAGUCUAACCUGCCCACUGAAGAUUUUAAAUGGCCGCGAUAUUUUGAUCGUGCUAAGGUAGCAUAAUCAUUAGUUUUUUAAUUGAAAGCUGGAAUGAAGGGUUGGAUGAAAAAUAGGCUGUCUUAAAUUAAGUUUAAUAGAAUUUUAUUUUUAAGUUAAAAAGCUUAAAUAAUAUUAAAAGACGAGAAGACCCUAUAGAGUUUAAUAAAUAGUAAAUUUAUUAUUUAGUAUUAAUAUUUAAAAUAAUUAUUAUUUAUUUAGUUGGGGUGAUUGAAAAAUUUAAUAAACUUUUUUUAUAUUUAAAUAUAAAUAUAUAAAUAUUUGAUCCAAAAUUUUUGAUUAUAAGAUUAAAUUACCUUAGGGAUAACAGCGUAAUUUUAUUGGAGAGUUCAAAUUGAUAAUAAAGAUUGCGACCUCGAUGUUGGAUUAAAAUUUAUUUUUGGUGCAAAAGCUAAAUUAAUUAAGUCUGUUCGACUUUUAAAAUUUUACA
rnacentral:rRNA from 1 species